rnacentral:rRNA from 1 species
UUGGAGGGCAAGUCUGGUGCCAGCAGCCGCGGUAAUUCCAGCUCCAAUAGCGUAUAUUAAAGUUGUUGCAGUUAAAAAGCUCGUAGUUGAAUUUCGGAAUUUUUUUAUCGGUUGAACCAACAGGUUCGUACUGAUUUUAAGAAUUUCUACCUUCUGAAGAACCUUAAUGUCAUUUAUUUGGUGUUUUGGGGAACCAGGACUGUUACCUUGAAAAAAUUAGAGUGUUUAAAGCAGGCUUAUGUCUGAAUAUAUUAGCAUGGAAUAAUGAAAUAGGACGGCAUGGUUCUAUUUUGUUGGUUUCUAGGAUCACCGUAAUGAUUAAUAGGGAUAGUUGGGGGCAUUAGUAUUCAAUUGUCAGAGGUGAAAUUCUUGGAUUUAUUGAAGACUAACUUCUGCGAAAGCAUUUGCCAAGGAUGUUUUCAUUAAUCAAGAACGAAAGUUAGGGGAUCGAAGACGAUCAGAUACCGUCGUAGUCUUAACCAUAAACUAUGCCGACUAGGAAUCGGACGAAGUUAAUUUUUUAAUGACUCGUUCGGCGCCUUACGGGAAAC